GGCUGAAACGUCAAAUUUGCAAACUUCGUGUUAAAAAUUGGCUUACAAUGUCAUUAGAAAAACAGGUUUGCCGGUGAAAUUUGAAACUUGAAUGUCCAAAGAAUAAGCAAGUCCAAACCUUAUAUGUGUAGUCGUUGAACUCUAGGUUUCCACGUAAAGUUAAAAUGACCCUAUUUCAAGAAGAAUAAACUCACAAAAACACGAA
rnacentral:lncRNA from 1 species